rnacentral:rRNA from 1 species
UACGUAGGGGGCAAGCGUUGUCCGGAAUUAUUGGGCGUAAAGCGCGCGCAGGCGGUUUUUUAAGUCUGAUGUUUAAGCCCGGGGCUCAACCCCGGUUCGCAUUGGAAACUGGAAGACUUGAGUGCAGGAGAGGAAAGUGGAAUUCCACGUGUAGCGGUGAAAUGCGUAGAGAUGUGGAGGAACACCAGUGGCGAAGGCGACUUUCUGGACUGUAACUGACGCUGAGGCGCGAAAGCGUGGGGAGCAAACAGG